rnacentral:piRNA from 1 species
GCUGACUGUGGUCAUGGAGCACUAUCUGGU